AUGAGUAUUCAUGUGGCCUGGGGUUUGGGCUCAGUGUGGAACAUUUACCUAGCAUGUGUGAGGCACUGGGCUCGAUUCUUAGCAUCGCACAUAAACAAAUAAAUAAAGGUUCAUUAACAACUAAAAAAAUUCUUUUUAAACAAUUAGUAUUUAUUACUGAGAAAGAACAAUGUAAGAAACGUUUAUAGGGGCUGGGAUUGUGGCUCAGUGGUAGAGACUCGCCUAGCAUGGGCCAGGGAUUUGAUCCUCAGCACCACAUAAAAAUAAAUGCAUUGUGUGGUGUCCAUCUACACCAAAAAAUAAAGUUAAAAAAGUUAAAAAAAAAAAAAGAUCCAUCUAUAGGUUAGUGGCUGAACACAAGGUCCCUGGUGGCAGCCUGAGGGAGAUUGUACCCUGGCCCCACAACUUACUAUAGCACAAGACCAAGAUGUGUUAUAUCAGGAAAAGUGCUGAAACAUGCUGAGCUUAUUGUAAGUGCUCCACAAAUAUUAACGCCUCUCCUUUGUUAAAGCAGGACUACUCAGAGGUGAAAUGACAGACCCUGAGAGCUGUGACCUCAUCAGCCCGUCCCAGUCGGAAUGGACUGUCCAGGUGGUAACUGCAGGCAGUGGGCGGGGGGGGGAGUGGCUGGAGGAGGUGGCUCAUGGGGGCUGCCCUGGAAGGCACAUCUUCCCUGUGCCCCUCCUCCCCUGCCCUGGUCUUGUGCCAUGACAGACGACCUCACUUUGGCUCAGAAUAACGUAGUUGACCCACCAUGAACUAAAUCUCUGAAACCAUGAGCCAAAAUAGUCUUUUUCUCCUCUCAGCUCUACUUGCCGGAUAUUUUGGUCAUAGUGACAUAAAGCUGGCUAAGGCACUAUUACUAUUAUUUUAAAAUGUAAUUGAGAUCACAAUUCUAAUAAGGCCAUUGCCUGUUAAAAUACCUUCCUGGCUCCUUGUUUCCCCAGGCCACCCCGGGUCCAGACCAGGGCUGGCCUCCUCCUCGUUUCCUGUCGCUCCUCUCUGAUCCAGCUUUACCCACAGAUCCCAGAAGUGCCUGUUCCCUUCCUUCCCCCCCCCCCCAUCCACCUGGCUGUAUCUAUUUGUCCUUGAACUAGAUCAGAUGCCACUUCUCCCUGGAAGCUCCUGCUGACGGGAUCGACUUGGCUCUCAUCUGUGUCCUGCUGCUGUUUGCUGUGACAUGUGUUGGCCUGCUCUCCUUCUCUGUCCCCCCGUGACAAUCACUCCUUUGGGGAGGAAGUCAUCUUUUUCUCCAGUGUAUCCCCAGUGUGUAGGACAGAGCAAGGAUUUCAAAAAUGCUCAGAAUCCUAGAAAUCACUUUAAAGACUUAUGAGGAGGCUUAAGACUGAAGUACCUGCAUGAAUCAGCAAAAGUCCUGGACUGAAGCCCAAGAUCAGGAGAAACAGAAAAGUGGGCACCCACCAGCCCACUCCGGCACCCGCAUGUGAAGGACCAGAAUCCACUCCCCUUCCGCUUUCUGUCCCCAGGUUCCCUAAGACAACGUCAGCAGUCAUGUUCUCAGGUGGCCCAGGUCUUGGAGGCUGUUACCUCCUGUGUUUCCUGUGAGCAACCACAGCACUCACUGAUCCUCAACAGGAAACUCAGCAGGCACCGUCUAGGGCCUUUAGAACUGAUUAUGGUUCUUAAAGAUUGGCUUCUUAUAGUUGAGCAAGAGUUAACAGCAGCACCAGAGAGGUCUUGUGGUCUGGGUCUGUGCCUUGACCCCUCACUUGCUGGCUGCGUGACCUUAAGGAAGUGGUUAACCUCUCUAAACCUCAGCUUCCUCAUCUGCAAAACGAGGUUGCUGAGUUCCUACUUGAUUGCAGAAUCACAUCGGUUACACAUCCACGUUUUCUCUUGACAACAGACAUUAGAAGCAUUCCAGAAGCCCGAAGAAGGCAGGAAACAGCUGGGGAUAAAGACAAGCGGAGACCUGGGGUUCCCAGUCCCCAGUUCACCAUUGCAUCCACUCCACUGCCACCUGCCUCCUCCCCUCCCCAAGCUCUGGUCCCGGGUCCAGGCGCCCUGCCUUCCCUUCCUGUCUUCAGCUUCCCACCAGGAGAAGGACCACGGUGGCAAAAGCUACCAUCCCACUCCAUGCAGGGGCUCUUCUCCGGCGCCCCCGGGUAUCUACCCUGAGACUGUGGCACCCUGCCUCCGGCCCCAGGGCUGCUCAGAACAGGCCCUGGAUUUCCAGUCAGGUCAUCAGUCUUCAGCCCAGUCCUUGGGCAGAAAGUGUGUACUAUGUGACCAAAAUAGAAAGAAAAUAUCCCGAGAAUCAUGACGUGCAAAUUUAAAGGAGGAGAUAUGAGGAUGGGAGGGCCCUCCCCAGGGACUUCCUCCCCAGGGACUUCUUACAGUGUUCCAUGCAGAGGUGUUUGGCCUUUGGUCAAAUACGAGAAGACAAGGUCGUCUCUUCAGAAGGAAAAACAAUGUCAGGGACAAAAGGAGGGAGUAGAGAAGGAGAGAAACUUUUCUUCUGUGUUCCUUUAAAAUAUCAACCCCAUGCGUGUUAUGACCUCUUUGAAAAGUGAGUCAGAGCCGGGCAUGAUGGUGCACACCUCUAACCCUAGCAUCUUGGGAGGCUGAGGCAGGAGGAUCACAAGUUUAAAGGAAACCUCAGCAACUUAGUGAAGGCCUGUCUCAAAAUUAAAUGAAAAAAAAAUUGAAAGGGCUGGGGUUCAAUUUCCAGUACCACAAAUAAAUAAAUAGUAAAAUAAAAGAAAACUAAGUUACUAUUUUGAAAAUGCCUGCAGUGUGCAGAACUCACUAACCUCCAAAGCAGACCAUUGGCUAGAACUGGCAGAAAGUUGUUUCCAAAGUGGACAGAAACCAGCCUCUGUGGGCUCCUGCUCCUCUGCCCCUCCCCAAGAGUAACAGGACAGUGGCGGCCAUCCUGUCCAGUGUAAAAAGGUAAAAAAUAUUUAAUGACAACUCUUUUCUUCUUUUAUCUUCGGUGAUGAAAAUGUCAUCUUUUCACAAUGUAGAUAGAAGUAUUAAAGGAAAACAAAGCUGA